UUCACAUCAAAAUGGCGCUCGCUCACUCGCUGUGCGUAGAACGUAGUACAUGUGUAAACGUGUAAAUAAAUUGGAGAUAGCAUACAAGAAAACAGAAAGGGUUCGCGGUUCACCUUUUUUGUAACGGUUUCCUCGGCGUCCUUUACAAAGUCCAGUUGAUAUCGUGUCCUGUCCACGUCCAGGGUGGAUCAGACCUGAUCUACAAAAUCUUGGAGCAGCCGCUUUCGUCGUAUGCCAUUAAAAAAAUUAAAACAUGCCCGUUAUUAAAAUUUGGUCAGUAGACCAAACAAUCAAGAAAGCUGUUCCAAUAAUGGACCCAACUUUAAAAAAUAUCAUUGAAAAAGGUGAGUAAAUCUAAAUUAAUUUGACUUUUCGUAAUGAAAUAUUUUUUGUGUAAUUGUAGAAUGUAGUGUAUUGUAGAAUAGACUAUAAUUGGAUACCUACUGUUAAGCAUUAAUGUGCUGACUCAAACCACAUUUAUUUUGCAGUAUGAUGUCAAUUUAAAAAUUUGACGCUUGAAGUUGACAAGAUAGAGCUGAUGCUGAACCCUGGCUGUACCUAGUGGAACUCAGGUUUGGUGCAACAUAGGCCCACGCUAUUUUGAUCAUCCGUCACAUAGAGGGAGAGCAAUACCCAAGAUAUAAUUCAUAAUCCAUUUUCUUCCAGAUGAGGUACCAUCCUAAAUAUAGUAGUUCCAUUUACUAAUCUUAUUAACUUUUUCUUUUCCAGGAACCAUUAACCAGGGUUCAAGUUGCAGAGCUAUCCGAAAUAGCUGCGCCUAACAUUGUAUUUUUAGAUAAUGAAAAUAUAAUUAUAUUACUUGCUGGUAGAAAAAACGAUUGUUAGCGAAACAGAUUCUGCCUACGUCGUUACAACUAUUGAUGGCGGCUUACUGCAACUUGAAUAUGGAAUAUCCAGUGGACUGUCAAAACACAUUAGAAUUUAUACAAAGGUAUAUUUUUAUUAAAAUAAAUCCUAAAGAAGGAAGUCAUAAGUAAUAGUUUUUGAUUUUUAAAAAGCGUUUUUCAAUUAAAAGACAUGUCAAGAUCGCUUAACUUCUUGCAAGUUCUUUCUAAUGCUAAAAAAACUAACUAUAAUUAAUGUCAGUAACAAACAUUUUCAGACAAUUCGUUACUUGAAAUGGUAUAGGUUUCACGCAUUAGAUUCACAUAGGCCUUAUUAACCGAAACUUUUAUAAGACUAAUUCAUAAGAAGUACUUAUGUACAUAAGAUAUAAUUUAUAGUGUCGUAUAUGUCUUCUACUUUUUGUACUCUGUCACAGAAUAAAUAAUAAUAAUAUGCACGUAGACGUGUAUAUACGCGUGUGCUCUAUAAUUUGAGUGUGUGAAAUUCAAUAAAUUUAUUUCUUUGUAA